ensembl:lncRNA
GCGUCACAUACUUGCAGCGCGUACUUUUCGCUGAUUAUGAGAGCCAUGUAGUUUUUCGUUGCGUCGCUGUUAGCAACAAAUGCAGUAUUAAAUCUAAUAAUCCAAAAAGAAGACUUUACGGAUGUAAGAUGUUUUUGCUUGUUAUUUUUUUCUAAAAAGUCUAUUUUAUCUUGUUAUUAUAUAUUAUCAGCUACUCAAAUAGUCUGUCAGCGCUUGUAGGGAUGUGGAAAUUGGCAUAUUUCACAACGAAAGCGUGAAAAUGUUUCAUCUGAAAAAUGGGCAUAUCAAAAAGCAGAAUGAAAAAAGUCGCACCUGUGUCAGUGACAGAGGAAACCAUCUGUAGCAGCUGCGUUCACCGGGAUGAAAGCCAGUUUUUUGGUCCCUCAAACACCAGAGCUUCAGAUCUGCGUGUGUCCGUCAGAAGAAGAGCCCAGGCAGACUGUAACAGUGAGGGGCAGGACUCUUGAGUUUUCAGCCGACGAUCUCGCUGAGAAAGUGGACAGAAUCCUCGCUGAGUGUGACAACACUGAUAUAUCACUCAGCAGGACUUCUUAUAAGAUGCCAAUGUUUGGAUCGAAGUCUUUUGGGCUUUACUACUACGCCAAACGCCAAGACUGCAACAGCGUUUACAGUAGCAGCACACGUGACAACAAUGAAAUGAACACAGUGAACAUAUCAAGUUCCAUUCAUAAAAAGGUCAGGCCUCCACAGGACCUGCUAAACUGUGCCAGCAUAGAGAGCACAGCAACAGCUUCAGUUUCUGGAAUUGUUAGUGGUUCAUCUGUGGCCUUGCCUAUCAUGUAUGAUGCUUCAGAAGAGGACCUCAUGAACACAAUCGAGAGGGAGUUCGGUUAACAACCACGAUGAUCUUCUGAGACAACAAAGAAAAAGAAAAUAUGUAUGAGAAGGAUUAUUGAUAAAUCACCAAAAAGUAUUAUGGAUCAUUUUUAAAUUAACCACUGAUGUUUUGGCAUGAAAUGUUUGAUUUUAAGACAUAUACACAGGCCUGCCUUAAGUGAUUUCAUUUACAGCUGAGUCCAUGCUAUCAGGAAGGCUGCUAUAGAAGCCUGUAAUUCUUUGAGAGAUUGUAUGUGCCUUAUGGUUCAGGAUGGAGUUUAUUCAGUUUAUUAAGUCAUUAUUCUAAUAAAAUUUGCUUCUGACAUUUUUUAAAGAAUAAU